UCUGCCCCUAGAGCUGUUGCAGAUGUUGCUGCUGUGCCACAUAUGCGUCAGUAGGUGGCAAAGGUGAGAAAGGUUAUGUCUAUCCUCAGUGUUCUCAGCUAUGACUAUCUGAAUGAUUAGUAGCCUAAUAUU